rnacentral:rRNA from 1 species
GUCCUUUAGUUACCAGCACGUUAUGGUGGGCACUCUAAGGAGACUGCCGGUGACAAACCGGAGGAAGGUGGGGAUGACGUCAAGUCAUCAUGGCCCUUACGGCCUGGGCUAUACACGUGCUACAAUGGUCGGUACAAAGGGUUGCCAAGCCGCGAGGUGGAGCUAAUCCCAUAAAACCGAUCGUAGUCCGGAUCGCAGUCUGCAACUCGACUGCGUGAAGUCGGAAUCGCUAGUAAUCGUGAAUCAGAAUGUCACGGUGAAUACGUUCCCGGGCCCUU